ACCUACGUGGAGAGCCAUAAAACACGAAGUUUCAGAACCACAACCUGACCUGGACCACAAUCCCUGGCUGAGGAUCCAUCCCAGGAAAGCUGUUCCCUGCAGAAAAGUGUAAUCCCGGCAAUCCCGGAGGAGUCUGGCGGAAUCAGCCAGAGGAGGGCACUUUUGAGCUUUGGGAGACCUCUGGGCCAGUGGGGCCGAAGGAUGCUGUGUCCUGGCUGUUCCCCUGCUGCUGGCUCUGCCUUUCCCCUGGUGUGGAUGUGAGAAAGAAAAUCAAUCCAGCUUGGUGAAGGCGGAUGCAGCAAAGAUCACUCUUGAUUUUUCUUAUCUGUCCAAACAAUGUUCUUUAUCUCCUGCCCAUGCUGACUGCCAUGAAAACUGUUGGCUAUCGAGUGGUUCCGAAAAGCAAAUUGUGUUACCCAGGUGCCAAAAGAGGAAGGUGAAUUGUACAUGUUUUCCCUCUGAGCUGUUAUUGUGGAGCUGUUAUUAAUGACAGAUGGUUGAUACAAACAGAUUUCAGCCCUGGAAGUGUUGCAAAUUUGCUGGUCAUCGUUUGUGCUCUGUGAUAAAAUGACUGAGGGGUUUUGGGUUUUUUUUUUUAGUGAGAGAACAGGAAAUACUGAAUAAUGGUGACUCUGGUUCAGUUAGCAGCUCCCUCUGUGCCCCACAGACUGAGUUACUGGUAAGGAGGAUGGCAAUUACCCUGUGAACCCCCACUGCAGGAAUGCUCAGGACCAGCAGCAUAACAGGGAGCAAGGACACGUCUGGAAUUUGGACAGCACUCAAAAUGUGCAAUACUGGAUCUUCCAAGGUUCCUUCUCUGCAAGACACUGAUUGAUUCCUCCUUCCUGGGGCAGGUGUUUGCCAGAUUUGUUGUGGGAUGUGCCCCAGGUGGAGCAGGGAAUCUCCCAACCUUUUUUUUUCCAGAGUGACCACCAGGGAAAAGCUGAAGGAGCAGCGUUGAGCUGAUGCAGUCCAAAAGCACAGGAUGUCUUCCACCAAUCUUGCUGCCACUGGAUAUUUCCUGUGCAAGGAUGGAGUUGCUGCCCUGUCCUCAGAAUCUCUGGUGGCCCUCCCUCAUUUUGACAUGUGAGGAUAACUACAUUUACUUUAUUUGGCACAUUCAUACAAAUAAGUGAAGCAAAUUCCUCUGUGCUGAUGGCAAAUAGAGACAAGGAAACCUCCUGUGACAGAAAUAGGUGAUGGAGUGGCAGAUGCCAGAUCCCUGUUCGUAUCAUAAAGAAUUCUGGCUAAUGUUUGCAUUUCUGCUUGUUUGUAAACUUAAAUGGAUGAGGUGAAAGCCAUACAGUCAAAUCCUCAUUUUUUGGUCACCUCAUGAUGUUGGCAGGACCUGGUGCUGCUGGAGAACCAAAGUCUGGAGAUGCCAAGACAUCUUUGAUGUCUUAGAUGAUCUUAGAUGUCACUUUGCCUCAAGAAAUCUGCCAGCUUUGCAGGACUUGGGGGAAGACUGGGCUGUAAAGAGGAUGUAUUUAAACAGGGAAUCAGUGGGCUGUUAAAAUGUUUGCUGCUGGAAUUCCAUGAUCAGUAAGGCCUGGUGGGGCUGCAGCUCGAUGCUGAUGUGGUUAAAACAUCCCCACACAUCUUCCCCUUGGGCAGGUCUGUGGUGGCACAAGGUCUGCAGCUGAGGCAUCAACAAGAAUUCUAUAAAUAAGGCCAAAAGAGAUAACAAUAUAAGAG
rnacentral:lncRNA from 1 species